UCCGGCCAUAUCAUGUUAAAACACCGGUUCCUGUACGAUCACCGAAGUUAAGCAAUGCCAAGCCUGGUCAGUAGCUAGAUGACCACUUCGGAAUACCAGGUGCU